UGGUAUCCUUCACCAUGCGCAAUUUAUAUUGUGACUACUGCAUGGUAUAGUGGUACAGCCGCUUCUCAAGUAUGACACUAGUGUACAAUUGUGGCAGAUAUAUUGUUUGCCAAGUAGUAGACAGUUUAGCCUUAGGGGCAAUCUGUACCUCAGUAAUGUUAUUUCCGAGUUCUACAUUGAUGAAAAAUCAGCUGUGACCCCAAGUCUGUCACAUACUCACAUAGCCACAAAAAAAAGUCCCUAUGAGCUAAAGCCUGCAUCCAACAUCUGCAUCCUGGCCAAAAAUCUGCUUGCUAAACCAAACUUUGUCAUGUUGCCCGGAAUAUACACAUCACAGCCGUCCAUCAUCACUUACCCAGGUCAUUCAUAGAAUACUCUAGAGCUGUUGGAUCAAACGGGCAGAUCUCUUACCCUUAUAUAAGUUGUGAAGAUUUCUGCUAGGGCAUCCAAUCUGUGCCUCCUUGGUUUCCUUGAGCAAACCCUAACCCUAAAAUCUAUCUGUGAUUAUCACCGUCGGCAACAGAUGCCAGAAACAAGUGGCGGUUCAGCGGCAUCACCAACAACAAACAAGUAUUAUGAUUUUUCCUCUCAGAAAUGUUAAUCUUCUGUCUGUUGCACAAUUGAAUUCUCAUCCUGUACUCCUUUUCAAUCUUCUUCAAACCUUUUUUUCUUGAAUUUUCCUCGUUGUUAUCUUCUUUUUAGGCUUGUUCAAGAUUCAGUUUCAGCUCAGAAACGGAAUCUGCUACCUUAAUCAGUUGUACUCUCACUAUUUCUUCAUCUCCAAAGUUAAUUAUAUUUAAUUUUAUGUAUGUGUGAACCCAUUAUCAAUAGAUAAAUUUUGAAGUGGAGAAGUAAUGUCAUCCCCAGUUUUUUUUUUUUCUGGUUCAACUCUGAUCUCAUUUGUACUCUCACUUUUUCUUUUCUUUCCAUAGUGUAUCACAUUUAAUUUUCAAUAUAUGUGAACCAAUUACCAAUUAAUUAAAUAUUAUCAAGUGAAGAAAUUUUGUCAUUGCACUAUUGCAGUUUGUAUUCUUUUUCAUAAUCUGGAUGUACCAAAUUUUGUCAUUACAAAUUGUUUCAGUCUGUUACAAAGAAAAAUGCAACAACAGUUUGAUACACAUAUUAUUCCAAUGAAGCACCACAAUUUUUCCCAGACAUAAAAGUUAUAAGAUGCAGUAGUUGAAGACUCUCAGAUUAACAGGGUUUCAACUGAAAAAACUGUCAAGUUAUAAGAACAGAAAUGGAUCAACUUUGACGAUUGAACAAAAAAAAGACCUUUUGAGUUGGAGUGUAAGCAUUGGAGGGAUUUGAUUUUGUGUUUUCAGCAAGGGGUUUUGAUUCCAAGACCUGAGAUUGAAAAGAUAGUGGAGUUGGUUCAAGAAGUGGUUGCAAAAGAUAAGGAUUUAAGAGAGUGUUUAUGGGUUGAUUUAGGUGCUGAUAGUGGUGCACUUGUUAUUGCAAUUGGGAAGGUUUUGGGUACUCAAGGAAAGGUCAUUGCCAUGGAUUUGAGUUUGAUUGCUGCUUCUGUAACUCAGUUCAGUCUCACGAGGUACGAUUUACAGCUGAAGUAGGUAAUCAAUCACGAACCAAGAUUUGCGCUAGAUGGGGGUGAAAAUGUCAUGGAUGAUCUUCUUCAUCUUUGUGAAGGAGCUGCUUGCAUGUUGCGGUCUGGUGGGCCUUUUUGCUUUCGAGGUUCAACUGGCAUCCUUCACCAUGCGCAAUUUAUGUUGUGUGACUAUGUACCGCUUCUCAAGUAUGAAACUAGUGUACAUUUGUGGCGGAUUGUUGGACAAAGUAGACAGUUUAGCCUUUGGUGCAAUCUGUACCUCAGUAAUGUUAUAUCCGAGUUCUACAUUGAUGCUGUAAAAUAACUGGGAAAAAUCAGCUGUGACCCCAAGUCUGUCACAUACUCACAUAGCCACACAAAAAAAAGUCCCUAUGAGCUAAAGCCUGCAUCCAACAUCUGCAUCCUGGCCAAAAAUCUGCUUGCUAAACCAAACUUUGUCAUGUUGCCCGGAAUAUACACAUCACAGCCGUCCAUCAUCACUUACCCAGGUCAUUCAUAGAAUACUCUAGAGCUGUUGGAUCAAACGGGCAGAUCUCUUACCCUUAUAUAAGUUGUGAAGAUUUCUGCUAGGGCAUCCAAUCUGUGCCUCCUUGGUUUCCUUGAGCAAACCCUAACCCUAAAAUCUAUAUGUGAUUAUCACCGACGGCAACAGAUGCCAGAAACAAGUGGCGGUUCAGCAGCAUUACCAACAACAAACAAGAAUUAUUGCUUCAAACAAUCAAAAAAAAACAAGCAUUAUGAUUUUUCUCUCAGAAAUGUUAAUCUUCUGUCUGCUGCACAACUGAAUUCUCAACCUGUACUCCUUUUCAAUCUUCUUCAAACCUUUUUUUCUUUGAUUUUCCUCGUUAUCUUCUUUUUGGGCUUGUUCAAGAUUUAGUUUCAGCUCAGAAACGGAAUCUGCUACCUUAAUCAGUUGUACUAUUUCUUCAUUUCUAAAGUUUAGUACACUUUGUUACGAGAUACUAUAGUAUCUUUACAUAUCCUCUUCUUAACUGCAUA